CUCGCGAUGCUGCUGUUGCUCUUCUUUGUCCGCCCAUGUUCCAUGGCACGAUUCGAUGGAUUCCCAUUCUGUCCAGUCUUUGUUCCACACGCAUGCUGGGUUGUCAGCCACCUAAUGGGCGAAUUGUGAAAAAUGCCAGAAUCUCAAUCAAUUACGGAAUAUGGAUUUGGACAACAUCACGGACAUUAUUAUUUGAAAGACGUACAGCCCCUAUCGAUAACAAAAAAGACGAGAUUGCUAAUGGUCUGGUCGGCUAAUCAAUCUAAAGCUUGAAGCGCACGAGGCUUCAGCAUGGAUUCAAACUCUUUCGCAAACAAAAGAUACCCAAAUAAGAAGUGCCUUGGAAAUAGUUGGCUACUAAGUCCCGGUUCUCGUUUACCUGUUGUAUACAAUUAACUAUGUCGUGUUGAGUUGCCAGAGGAAGUCUUUUUAUGUCUUCAAUGACGCUCUCUUUGCUGGGGCCCUGAACAGCACAGCCAAGAACCAACAAUAAGAGCGUCUGCAUUCCAGCUAAACCGGUCUCACUGUCCGGGUCACGACCAAGUGUCACUGGAUCAGGUAAGCGAACUAACACAAAUUGACCCAAAACGUCCUGCCAAAUGUCACAAGAAAACAACAAAUAUAACUUAUGGAAUGUAACUGAAAUAUCUACGUACAGUACGCUUUAUAUAUACUGUAUACGUAUAUA